rnacentral:rRNA from 1 species
GAGUUUGAUUCUGGCUCAGAUUGAACGCUGGCGGCCUGCCUUACACAUGCAAGUCGAACGGUAACAGGUCUUCGGAUGCUGACGAGUGGCGAACGGGUGAGUAAUACAUCGGAACGUGCCCGAGAGUGGGGGAUAACGAGGCGAAAGCUUUGCUAAUACCGCAUACGAUCUCAGGAUGAAAGCAGGGGACCGCAAGGCCUUGCGCUCACGGAGCGGCCGAUGGCAGAUUAGGUAGUUGGUGGGACAAAAGCUUACCAAGCCGACGAUCUGUAGCUGGUCUGAGAGGACGACCAGCCACACUGGGACUGAGACACGGCCCAGACUCCUACGGGAGGCAGCAGUGGGGAAUUUUGGACAAUGGGCGCAAGCCUGAUCCAGCCAUGCCGCGUGCGGGAAGAAGGCCUUCGGGUUGUAAACCGCUUUUGUCAGGGAAGAAAUCCUUUGGGUUAAUACCUCGGAGGGAUGACGGUACCUGAAGAAUAAGCACCGGCUAACUACGUGCCAGCCGCCGCGGUAAUUCA